rnacentral:rRNA from 1 species
UACGAAGGGGGCUAGCGUUGCUCGGAAUCACUGGGCGUAAAGCGCACGUAGGCGGCUUUCUAAGUCAGGGGUGAAAUCUCGGAGCUUAACUCCGAAACUGCAUUCGAUACUGCCGUGCUUGAGGACUGGAGAGGAGACUGGAAUUUACGGUGUAGCGGUGAAAUGCGUAGAUAUCGAUAAGGAAGACCAGUGGCGAAGGCGGGUCUCGUGGACAGUUCCUGACGCUGAGGCACGAAGGUCAGGGGAGCAAACAGG